AUGAUUUUUCCAUUUUUAAACUUUUGUUUUCUACUGAAAUGUCAAUUUAUGCUUUUUAUACAGGGUUACAACAAAGAUAACAUGAAUAUGUCCACAGAUGAUUCACAAAUGAUAACGUGGCAAAUAGAAUUUCAAGAAAUCAUUAAUUCAGUAGAACCGCAAAGGUAUCAUAAAAAACAUUAA